UUUCAUAUCUCUAAAACUCACUUCCAAGUGGCAUUUGAUCGAGAGAUUUGUUUAUGGUCAAGAUCAUCUUCUUGAUAAAUUCGUAUCUCUGAAUAAUUUG